GACAGCAGCAGCCGCGGGAAUACAGAGGGUGCGAGCGUUAAUCGGAUUUACUGGGCGUAAAGCGUGCGUAGGCGGCUUCUUAAGUCGGAUGUGAAAUCCCUGAGCUUAACUUAGGAAUUGCAUUCGAUACUGGGAAGCUAGAGUAUGGGAGAGGAUGGUAGAAUUCCAGGUGUAGCGGUGAAAUGCGUAGAGAUCUGGAGGAAUACCGAUGGCGAAGGCAGCCAUCUGGCCUAAUACUGACGCUGAGGUACGAAAGCAUGGGGAGCAAACAGGAUUAGAUACCCCCGUAGUCCCUGUCUCUUAUAC
rnacentral:rRNA from 1 species